UACGGAGGAUCCAAGCGUUAUCCGGAUUCAUUGGGUUUAAAGGGUGCGUAGGCGGAAUGAUAAGUCAGUGGUGAAAUCUCGGAGCUCAACUCCGAAACUGCCAUUGAUACUGUCAAUCUUGAGUACAUUUGAUGAGGGCGGAAUGUGUCAUGUAGCGGUGAAAUGCUUAGAUAUGACACAGAACACCGAUUGCGAAGGCAGCUCUCAAAACUGUAACUGACGCUGAGGCACGAAAGCGUGGGUAUCAAACAGG
rnacentral:rRNA from 1 species